GUAGGGCGGGACACGUGGUAUCCUGUCUGAAUAUGGGGGGACCAUCCUCCAAGGCUAAAUACUCCUGACUGACCGAUAGUGAACCAGUACCGUGAGGGAAAGGCGAAAAGAACCCCGGCGAGGGGAGUGAAAAAGAACCUGAAACCGUGUACGUACAAGCAGUGGGAGCCUCUUUAUGGGGUGACUGCGUACCUUUUGUAUAAUGGGUCAGCGACUUAUAUUCUGUAGCAAGGUUAACCGAAUAGGGGAGCCGAAGGGAAACCGAGUCUUAACUGGGCGUUAAGUUGCAGGGUAUAGACCCGAAACCCGGUGAUCUAGCCAUGGGCAGGUUGAAGGUUGGGUAACACUAACUGGAGGACCGAACCGACUAAUGUUGAAAAAUUAGCGGAUGACUUGUGGCUGGGGGUGAAAGGCCAAUCAAACCGGGAGAUAGCUGGUUCUCCCCGAAAGCUAUUUAGGUAGCGCCUCGUGAAUUCAUCUCCGGGGGUAGAGCACUGUUUCGGCAAGGGGGUCAUCCCGACUUACCAACCCGAUGCAAACUGCGAAUACCGGAGAAUGUUAUCACGGGAGACACACGGCGGGUGCUAACGUCCGUCGUGAAGAGGGAAACAACCCAGACCGCCAGCUAAGGUCCCAAAGUCAUGGUUAAGUGGGAAACGAUGUGGGAAGGCCCAGACAGCCAGGAUGUUGGCUUAGAAGCAGCCAUCAUUUAAAGAAAGCGUAAUAGCUCACUGGUCGAGUCGGCCUGCGCGGAAGAUGUAACGGGGCUAAACCAUGCACCGAAGCUGCGGCAGCGACACUAUGUGUUGUUGGGUAGGGGAGCGUUCUGUAAGCCUGUGAAGGUGGCCUGUGAGGGUUGCUGGAGGUAUCAGAAGUGCGAAUGCUGACAUAAGUAACGAUAAAGCGGGUGAAAAGCCCGCUCGCCGGAAGACCAAGGGUUCCUGUCCAACGUUAAUCGGGGCAGGGUGAGUCGACCCCUAAGGCGAGGCCGAAAGGCGUAGUCGAUGGGAAACAGGUUAAUAUUCCUGUACUUGGUGUUACUGCGAAGGGGGGACGGAGAAGGCUAUGUUGGCCGGGCGACGGUUGUCCCGGUUUAAGCGUGUAGGCUGGUUUUCCAGGCAAAUCCGGAAAACCAAGGCUGAGGCGUGAUGACGAGGCACUACGGUGCUGAAGCGACAAAUGCCCUGCUUCCAGGAAAAGCCUCUAAGCAUCAGGUAACAUCAAAUCGUACCCCAAACCGACACAGGUGGUCAGGUAGAGAAUACCAAGGCGCUUGAGAGAACUCGGGUGAAGGAACUAGGCAAAAUGGUGCCGUAACUUCGGGAGAAGGCACGCUGAUAUGUAGGUGAAGCGACUUGCUCGUGGAGCUGAAAUCAGUCGAAGAUACCAGCUGGCUGCAACUGUUUAUUAAAAACACAGCACUGUGCAAACACGAAAGUGGACGUAUACGGUGUGACGCCUGCCCGGUGCCGGAAGGUUAAUUGAUGGGGUUAGCGGUAACGCGAAGCUCUUGAUCGAAGCCCCGGUAAACGGCGGCCGUAACUAUAACGGUCCUAAGGUAGCGAAAUUCCUUGUCGGGUAAGUUCCGACCUGCACGAAUGGCGUAAUGAUGGCCAGGCUGUCUCCACCCGAGACUCAGUGAAAUUGAACUCGCUGUGAAGAUGCAGUGUACCCGCGGCAAGACGGAAAGACCCCGUGAACCUUUACUAUAGCUUGACACUGAACAUUGAGCCUUGAUGUGUAGGAUAGGUGGGAGGCUUUGAAGUGUGGACGCCAGUCUGCAUGGAGCCGACCUUGAAAUACCACCCUUUAAUGUUUGAUGUUCUAACGUUGGCCCGUAAUCCGGGUUGCGGACAGUGUCUGGUGGGUAGUUUGACUGGGGCGGUCUCCUCCUAAAGAGUAACGGAGGAGCACGAAGGUUGGCUAAUCCUGGUCGGACAUCAGGAGGUUAGUGCAAUGGCAUAAGCCAGCUUGACUGCGAGCGUGACGGCGCGAGCAGGUGCGAAAGCAGGUCAUAGUGAUCCGGUGGUUCUGAAUGGAAGGGCCAUCGCUCAACGGAUAAAAGGUACUCCGGGGAUAACAGGCUGAUACCGCCCAAGAGUUCAUAUCGACGGCGGUGUUUGGCACCUCGAUGUCGGCUCAUCACAUCCUGGGGCUGAAGUAGGUCCCAAGGGUAUGGCUGUUCGCCAUUUAAAGUGGUACGCGAGCUGGGUUUAGAACGUCGUGAGACAGUUCGGUCCCUAUCUGCCGUGGGCGCUGGAGAACUGAGGGGGGCUGCUCCUAGUACGAGAGGACCGGAGUGGACGCAUCACUGGUGUUCGGGUUGUCAUGCCAAUGGCACUGCCCGGUAGCUAAAUGCGGAAGAGAUAAGUGCUGAAAGCAUCUAAGCACGAAACUUGCCCCGAGAUGAGUUCUCCCUGACUCCUUG
rnacentral:rRNA from 1 species